GAUGAACGCUGGCGGCGUGCCUAAUACAUGCAAGUCGAGCGAACAGACGAGGAGCUUGCUCCUCUGACGUUAGCGGCGGACGGGUGAGUAACACUUGGAUAACCUACCUAUAAGACUGGGAUAACUUCGGGAAACCGGAGCUAAUACCGGAUAAUAUAUUGAACCGCAUGGUUCAAUAUUGAAAGACGGUUUUGCUGUCACUUAUAGAUGGAUCCGCGCCGCAUUAGCUAGUUGGUAAGGUAACGGCUUACCAAGGCGACGAUGCGUAGCCGACCUGAGAGGGUGAUCGGCCACACUGGAACUGAGACACGGUCCAGACUCCUACGGGAGGCAGCAGUAGGGAAUCUUCCGCAAUGGGCGAAAGCCUGACGGAGCAACGCCGCGUGAGUGAUGAAGGUCUUCGGAUCGUAAAACUCUGUUAUUAGGGAAGAACAAAUGUGUAAGUAACUAUGCACGUCUUGACGGUACCUAAUCAGAAAGCCACGGCUAACUACGUG
rnacentral:rRNA from 1 species